rnacentral:rRNA from 1 species
UUGACGGGGGCCCGCACAAGCGGUGGAGCAUGUGGUUUAAUUCGAUGAUACGCGAGGAACCUUACCUGGGCUCAAAUGUAUGUUGACGUAUUCUGAAAGGGAUACUUCUUCGGACAAUAUACAAGGUGCUGCAUGGUUGUCGUCAGCUCGUGCCGUGAGGUGUCGGGUUAAGUCCCAUAACGAGCGCAACCCCUAUCAUUAGUUGCCAUCAGGUCAAGCUGGGGACUCUAAUGAAACUGCCUACGCAAGUAGUGAGGAAGGUGGGGAUGACGUCAAAUCAUCAUGCCCCUUAUGAUCUGGGCUACACACGUGCUACAAUGGCCGGUACAACGGGCAGCGAAGGAGCGAUCCGGAGCGAAUCCUAAAAAGCCGGUCCCAGUUCGGAUUGCAGGCUGAAACUCGCCUACAUGAAGUUGGAGUUGCUAGUAAUCGCGAAUCAGAAUGUCGCGGUGAAUGCGUUCCCGGGUCUU